GAGCUUCAAAUUAAUAUUUGAAAUUAUAUUCAACGAACUAAUUUAUAGCAAUAACGAUAAGCGAUUCUCCGUGUAUAUCAAGUUUCAUUUGUACUGAUCGUGGCCUCUAACAAGUCGCUACAGU